ensembl:lincRNA
GGUCCCUAAUAAUAAAAAACGGAGCAAUUCCAAUAGGGCCUACGCACCGUUUCGGUGCUCGGUCCCUAAUAAACAGAGCAAUUCCAAUAGGGCCUACGCACCGUUUCGGUGCUCGGUCCCUAAUUAUUCUACAUCACCUUUUUCAAUGUAGAACUUAAAUCUAAAUGGGUCUCAGAGCCCUCAGACAUCACAGUUAGUUCUUAUCGCUAUUUUCAAAAAAAUUUUUGAAAUCCCAGAGUUUAGUCAUCACAACAGCCUUUUUAUAUUACGUCAAAGCAUUUCUCAUUCCUGUCUAUUGUAGGGAAAUCAUGGUUACAUUUUUAUUCCUCUUAAAGAGGUUGCAUAAUCAAAUGUAUUUAUAUUAAAUACAUCACAUAAAUGUUUAUAUUGUCCAGGGUUCCCACGGGUCCUUAAAAAGUAUUAAAAUGUCUUAAUAUAAAAUCUGGGAAAUUAAGGUCUUAAAUUGUCCUAAAUUUACUGUUAAGUGGCUGUAGGUACUACAUUUUCAGCCGGUGUGCUUAAUGAUGAUAGGGAAGCACAGUGGUCCACCGUAAAACAUCUAAUAGUAGAUCAUUUUAGAAUGUGUAAAACAGGAGAGAAAUGACAGUCUCUGUGAUUUAUUAGCUUAUUAUGGUAGGUUGGCUACAGACGUUUAUAUCGGUCUGCACCUGUGUGCUGUCAUUAUGCGGUUGUCAAGGUGAGGUUCAAAAUGAAAAGAUGGGAAAGUACAAAUUUUAACGACGUGGCAAUGAGGCAAUGUGUAAAUUCUGCAAAAAGACCUUUUCGUCAGGGACCAUGGGGCUUAAAGCCAUGGAGUCGCAAUUGAAAUUAGGAAAGCAGCAGCGGUAGGUUGCGGCAGCUAGUCAUAGCAGGUCCAGUUUAAUCCCUGCAUUGUUUGCAGCUAGACCUAACAAUGUUACUAAGUCUAGAGUGGAAGAUCUUUGCCCGAACCCGACAGACUUAAUUUCUAUCCUUUUAGACGGGGUCGAUCCGUGCUUGGGCUUGUGCCAUAAAUGAACAGUCAUGUGAUGCAUUUCGAUUAGCGGGAAAUUUAAAGGUGAAACAAAUGAUGACGGAGAUAUCAAAAAAAGCUAAUUUUGACCGCGGUCAUUUUCGCUGCCAAGGUAUUUUGGCGGUCGCUCAUACACUGCGUAUUACGGUAGAGCACUAAACAGUUAUGUACAGCGAGCUGACAGGGACGAUGAAAUGUAUGUUCUUGACUGGUGAAAGAUGAACAAACAAUUCUACCCAAAACAUGCUAAAUUAGCCAGAACAGUAGUGCAUCCCGGCCAGUAUCAGCAGCAGUGAAAGAGUGUUCUGUGCUGCUCAGUGAGCUCAGGACUGCACUAAAGCCAUUUACAAGGGAUUUAAUAAUGUUCCUCCACAAAAACAUGUAGCCUAAUCUUGAUGAGCAAAGAAUUUUCAAAUUAUAACUAAAUAUUAAAAUGUAAUAAUAAAAUCAUAAUGCAGACAGAGUAUAUUGGCUAAUGCUGGCAUUAAUCUUUUAAUAUUCAUUGCCAAAUACCAGUCAUUAUUAAUCUUGUAUUUUAAUUUAAUUUAAGACUUAUUUUUAUUGGUGUGUUGGCCAAUUUAAAGGCUAAGUGUAUGUACCUGGGACUCUUUAGAGUGCUGAGAUGUUACAGAAGAUUUAUUUUAUUUUUUUGUUCCAAUUUCCAAGUGAGCUGUGUGCAUGUGCAUAAUUGACAAAUGUCGCUUUUUAAAAGCUGUCAUUCAAUAAGUACUUGUCAGGCUCGGGCCCUGUCGGGCCUAACUUUUAUGGCCCGAUUACAGCUCUAGUUCAGACGCCCCCUCACAGUCAGCUAUAGGGUUGUAACGGUAUGAAUUUUUCACGGUAUGAUAAUCGUCUAAAACAAUACCACGGUUUGACGGUUU